UACGGAGGUGGCAAGCGUUGCUCGGAAUCACUGGGCGUAAAGGGCGCGUAGGCGGGGAGGUAAGUCGGGUGUGAAAUCCCUCGGCCCAACUGAGGAACUGCGCCCGAGACUGCUUCUCUUGAGUCCCGGAGAGGAAGAUGGAAUUCCCGGUGUAGCGGUGAAAUGUGUAGAGAUCGGGAGGAACACCGGUGGCGAAGGCGGGUCUCUGGGCCGAUACUGACGCUGAGGAGCGAAAGCGUGGGGAGCGAACAGG
rnacentral:rRNA from 1 species